rfam:Stereum hirsutum FP-91666 SS1 unplaced genomic scaffold STEHIscaffold_15, whole genome shotgun sequence.
GGCACUAUCGUAUAGCGGUUUAGUACACAGGAUUUUGAUCUCGAGCUGUAUUCCAGCUCGGUAAACUUCCUGUAACCCAGGUUCGAACCCUGGUAGCGCCU